rnacentral:rRNA from 1 species
UACGGAGGAGGCAAGCGUUAUCCGGAAUUAUUGGGCGUAAAGCGUCCGCAGGUGGCACCUCAAGUCUGCUGUCAAAGACCGGGGCUUAACCCCAGAAAGGCAGUGGAAACUGAAGUGCUAGAGUGCAGUAGGGGUAGAGGGAAUUCCCGGUGUAGCGGUGAAAUGCGUAGAGAUCGGGAAGAACAUCGGUGGCGAAGGCGACUUCCUGGCCUGUUCUUGACGCUGAGGCGCGAAAGCUAGGGGAGCGAACGGG